rnacentral:misc_RNA from 1 species
AUUUAAUGGCAUUCUUCUCUUUAGUUUUAAUCUUUUGAUUGAAACGUUAAUUCAGGCCUAAAAACCUGAAUCUAUAUCAAUGUUAAAUUUUAAUUUAUCAAAACUAYAUUCUAAUUAUUAAUUAAUUUUAAUUUUUAAUAACUAAUAACAAUGGAUCUCUUGGCACUGAUAUCGAUGAAGAACGUUGCAAACUGCGAUAAGUAGUGUGAAUUGCAUCUUUUGUGAAUCAUCAAAUCUUUGAACCCAAAUUGGACUGGUACCUUAAAUACCAGUAUGUUUGGUUGAGUGUUAUAAAUUAAUAACCGAUGCUUGGUUUUAAUUUAAUUGAGUUUAAUGUUAUUCUUUGARUAAUGUUAAAAAUUUGAGAAUUCUUAAUACGAUUCUUUAAAUUCAAGCUUAAUAAUUUGAGUAUAAUUUAUUAUACUUAGAUGAUGUUACGCUAAUAGUUAAAUUCAAUAGUUAUUAAUAAGUUUUAGCAUUUAUGCUCUAACUUUUAUUAUUAUUGAGUUUUAUCAAGCUAUUAAGUUUAAAAUAUCACCGUAAAGUUAUUAUGUAAAUAAAAUUGA